GACUCCGUGGCUCGAGGACGAACGCUGGCGGCGUGCCUAACACAUGCAAGUCGAACGAAGCACUUCACUCGGAGAUUCGUCGAAGAGUGAUUUGACUUAGUGGCGGACGGGUGAGUAAUGCGUGAGCAACCUGCCCUUCAGAGGGGGACAACAGUUGGAAACGACUGCUAAUACCGCAUAACAUCAUCGGGAGGCAUCUCCUGGUGAUCAAAGAUUUAUCGCUGAGGGAUGGGCUCACGUCUGAUUAGCUAGUUGGUGGGGUAACGGCCUACCAAGGCUGCGAUCAGUAGCCGGACUGAGAGGUUGAACGGCCACAUUGGGACUGAGAUACGGCCCAGACUCCUACGGGAGGCAGCAGUGGGGAAUAUUGGGCAAUGGGGCGAAAGCCUGACCCAGCAACGCCGCGUGAAGGAAGAAGGCCUUCGGGUUUGUAAACUUCUUUUAUGUAGGGACGAAGGACGUGACGGUACCUCAUGAAUAAAGCCACGGCUAACUACGUGCC
rnacentral:rRNA from 1 species